CCGCGAUUCAUCGCCGGGUAUGUACAUCGUCCCGGUCGUCGUCGUGGUGGCCGGGUGGCACGCCAGCAGCAGGUCGAGGAAGCGCGAGAGGGUGGACUCCGGGUCGCGCUUUCGUCGCAACUCUCGUUCUCCACCACUUCCUCCUCCUCCUCCUCCUCCUCCACCUCCUCCUCCUCCGUCGCCUCCGCUUUCGCUUCCUCUACCUCCUGCUUCCUCGCGUCGCGUUUCGAGAGAGGGUUAAAGUCGCUCUGCAACCUCUUUUUUUUUCGGGGAAAGAGAAGAAAACGCGGCGCUCUCGCGACAGCGAUGAGUGCAACGCGAGUGCCACGCCGAUGCGACGCGGGUGCGGCGAGAUGGUGAUACGCACGCAUAUAUUUAUAUGCACGCGCUGAACAACGAAGAGCGAGCGGAUCACCGAGUACCUCGUGAAUUUAACUCGACUUGGCGGAACAAUCGCGAGAUAAAAUAAACGUGGCUUUUGUAGUUCCGAGCGAUUCGCGUUUCUGUCUAGAGGCGAAUAGGAAGCAAAAGGAAAAAAAAA
rnacentral:lncRNA from 13 species